AUUGUGCUUGCACAGAUGACGACCGGCGCACGGGUGCGUAACGCGUAUAGAACCUACCUUUUACAGAGGAAUAGCCUUUAGAAAUGAAGAUUAAUGCCUCAUAGUAUUGUAGACUGGCAUCAGUUUAUAAUUAAAGAUUUAUCGGUAAAAGAUGGCUAUGCGUCCUAUUAGUUAGUUGGUAAGGUAACGGCUUACCAAGACGGCGAUAGGUAGGGGCCCUGAGAGGGAGAUCCCCCACACUGGUACUGAGACACGGACCAGACUCCUACGGGAGGCAGCAGUGAGGAAUAUUGGACAAUGGAGGAGACUCUGAUCCAGCCAUGCCGCGUGUAGGAAGAAUGCCCUAUGGGUUGUAAACUACUUUUAUACAGGAAGAAACACUGGUAUGUAUACCAGCUUGACGGUACUGUAAGAAUAAGGACCGGCUAACUCCGUGCCAGCAGCCGCGGUAAUACGGAGGGUCCGAGCGUUAUCCGGAAUCAUUGGGUUUAAAGGGUCCGC
rnacentral:rRNA from 1 species